GCUGAGCCCGCAAAUUCCUGUUCGCUUAGCUUGUUUGUUGUUACUUUCAGGUGAAAGUUUCCUCGCUGGGGCCGGGCAUUUCUGGAGGACAGCAUUGGGUGGAGCUGGAAAAGGAACGGCCUGCGGGUGCCUGGACCUGGAUGGGGCGGGGUUGGCCAAAUCCUUUCCUUUGGAUUCCACCUCCAGCUAGACCCCGUGGAGCCUGGUUUUCCCAUCUCUGCCCCUCUGCUGAGCCAUUCUAGAGCCCCUACCCAUGGAAGGGCAUGGAGACGACAGGGUGUUUGAGGCCAGAUGUGAGUGGCAGGCAGACGCAGAGUCUUCGAAGGGGCAGGGGCGGAGGAGGUGAAACUCACAGCCCCACCUCGAAGCUUCACUGGCGGAGCCGGGAGUUCAAGUGCAUCACAGACCUUAUCUUGUCCCUCCUCACACCAGCUCCCAAAGGCGAGGAUUGCCCUCACUAUCGUGCAGAUGAGGGAACUGAGGCCCGUGACACUUGUGCGACAUGCCUGAGGCCACCCAGCUGAUUCCCUGUCUGAGCUGGGGUGCUUGGCUCAGGCCAGGCUCUCUGCCAGGUGUGGCUUGUGUGUGUUAACUCAGUCCACACAACCACCUAAUCCGGGAGGGACUGUCAUGAUCCCCAUGGUACCGAUGAGCAAACACCAGCACAGAGAGGUUCAGCGACUGCCCCAAGGUCUCAGAGCUUGUCAGUGACAGAGCCGAGUAUCAACCCCGGGGCCACCCGAUGUCAGAGCCGAUGCUUCAGCCAAGGGGCAGCAAAGCUGCCUCAGAAGCUGGUAAAUGAUGGGGCAGGGCUCGAACCGCUGGCAGCCUGACUCCAGAGCUCCCACCCUCUCUACCACCAGACGCAAGGGACUGAGGAGAGAGGCCCAAGCCUGGGCCCCAGCCAGAGCCGGACAUGCUGUGGCAGGCAUCCAACUUCCAGCCCGGCCAGUGCUUUGGAGAAGGGCCAGAGGCAGGGGAAGGCCCCCAGUCAAGGCCUUCCCAGAGCUGGUCCUCAGGCAGCCCCGGGGCUGGGACCAGCCUGAACCUGCUGAGGGGAGGACGACAGUCAAGUCUCCCCAACCCGUCCCAGAACAAGGAAUCAGACUCUCCUGCGGUGGGGCUCAGAGACCUGCGGUUCUAAGAGCCUCACACGUGAUUUUGAAGCAGCCUUCAGACCCCAGCUACCACCUGGGACCCGUGGCCAGAGUCCAGCUUAGAAAGUCCGGGGUAUCAGACCCUAUAGAGAAAAGUGACAACAACAGCCACAUGUUGUAUGUGCCAGGAACAUAGCCUGUUGUCCCGUAAGCCUCAUCUCCUCACAGUGACCCAUGAAUGAAGGGGACUCUUGCCAACCCUUUUUUCAGAUGAGGGAACUGACCAUCAGAGAAGGAAGAACCUGCCCGGGUCAACCAACCGGUGAGGGAGAACUGGGACUCACACUAAGCCUGGUCUUAGGCCUCCCUCCCUUCGUCCCUCCCUCCCUCCUCCCCUCUCUGCAGGAGGGCCUGGGGUGGCACUGAGAGCGGGGGGGGGGGGGGGGCUCCCACCCAGAGAACUCAGGAAGCAGCUUUUGCCCCUCCUUCUCCAUCCAGCUGAGGCCAAGCCCCCCUCUCCCACGGUGAGAUCAUCUCUGCUUCA